rnacentral:rRNA from 1 species
UGAGGAAUAUUGGACAAUGGAGGCAACUCUGAUCCAGCCAUGCCGCGUGAGUGAAGAAGGCCUUAGGGUUGUAAAGCUCUUUCAAUAGUGAAGAUAAUGACGGUAGCUAUAGAAGAAGCUCCGGCUAAAUUCGUGCCAGCAGCCGCGGUAAUACGAAUGGAGCAAGCGUUGUUCGGAAUCACUGGGCUUAAAGCGUGCGCAGGCGGAACUGAAAGUCAGGAGUGAAAUCCCGGGGCUCAACCCCGGAACUGCUCUUGAAACUCCAGUUCUAGAAUCCGAUAGAGGUAAGGAGAAUUCCUAGUGUAGAGGUGAAAUUCGCAGAUAUUAGGAGGAAUACCAGUGGCGUAGGCGCCUUACUGGGUCGGUAUUGACGCUCAUGUACGAAAGCGUGGGGAGCAAACAGGAUUAGAUACCCCCGUAGUCC